rnacentral:rRNA from 1 species
GACGAACGCUGGCGGCGUGCUUAACACAUGCAAGUCGAACGGAAAGGCCCUGCUUUUGUGGGGUGCUCGAGUGGCGAACGGGUGAGUAACACGUGAGUAACCUGCCCUUGACUUUGGGAUAACUUCAGGAAACUGGGGCUAAUACCGGAUAGGAGCUCCUGCUGCAUGGUGGGGGUUGGAAAGUUUCGGCGGUUGGGGAUGGACUCGCGGCUUAUCAGCUUGUUGGUGGGGUAGUGGCUUACCAAGGCUUUGACGGGUAGCCGGCCUGAGAGGGUGACCGGCCACAUUGGGACUGAGAUACGGCCAAGACUCCUACGGGAGGCAGCAGUGGGGAAUAUUGAACAAUGGGCGGAAGCCUGAUGCAGCAACGCCGCGUGCGGGAUGACGGCCUUCGGGUUGUAACCCGCUUUCGCAUGUGACGAAGCGUGAGUGACGGUAAUGGGUAAAGAAGCACCGGCUAACUACGUG